AUUGAACGCUGGCGGUAGGCUUAACACAUGCAAGUCGAGCGCGAAAAGUCUUCGGACUGAGUAGAGCGGCGGACGGGUGAGUAACGCGUAGGAAUCUACCCAGUGGUGGGGGACAACCUGGGGAAACCCAGGCUAAUACCGCAUACGCCCCAAGGGGGAAAGCGGGGGCUCUCUUCGGAGACCUCGCGCCAUUGGAUGAGCCUGCGUCGGAUUAGCUAGUUGGUGGGGUAAAGGCCUACCAAGGCGACGAUCCGUAGCUGGUCUGAGAGGACGAUCAGCCACACUGGGACUGAGACACGGCCCAG
rnacentral:rRNA from 1 species